GACAGAGGAUGCAAGCGUUAUCCGGAAUUAUUGGGCGUAAAGAGCUCGUAGGCGGUCUGUCGCGUCGGCUGUGAAAACCCGGAGCUCAACUCCGGGCCUGCAGUCGAUACGGGCAGACUGGAGUUCGGCAGGGGAGACUGGAAUUCCUGGUGUAGCGGUGAAAUGCGCAGAUAUCAGGAGGAACACCGGUGGCGAAGGCGGGUCUCUGGGCCGAUACUGACGCUGAGGAGCGAAAGCGUGGGGAGCGAACAGG
rnacentral:rRNA from 1 species